CCCAGGAAGCUGGGGGGGCGUUCUUGUUCUCCCUGAGCCACCACCAUCCAGGCACAGACAGCCUGACAAGGAGAUGGUGAGU
rfam:Powassan virus 64-7483 3' untranslated region.